UUAACUGAAAGUGGUGGUGGAGGUAGGAGCAAGGAGGAGGUGGAGGAAGAGGCAUCAGCAUUUUGCUUUCUAAAGGUUCUUAGGAAGCUCUGGGCUUCCCCGGUGGAGAUUUCAGUGUGUGGCCAAAUUUAAGAUCAGUGGUUCUCGAACUUGAGUAUAUAUCAGAAUCACCUGGAGGGCUUGUUAAACAGAUUCUAGUUCUGAUCCUAAGUUUUCCUAGUAACUUGGUGUCAAGUGGAGCUUGAAUAUUUGCACUGCUAACACAAAAGUUCUCCAGUAAUACUGAUGCUACUGGUCUGGGGAGCAAACUGUGAGAACCAUCAUUUUAGAGUUUCAAGUGGGUUAAUAUUACCAGAAUGGAUGGGACAGAAAUCUUCAAAAUCUAAAGAAUAUCUGUUUUCCUUGAAGGCCUGGUGUACCACCCUCUCCUCACUGAAGCCUUCAUUCAUUUGCCACCUUUACCUUGUACCACAGCAAAGGGAUCAUGCAAUGAUUUAACAACAGCUGUUUUGAAGGAUCGAGUCACAGGUCGUGUCUACACAAAGGUGUAGCUACCAGUGGGCAGGAAUCGUGGAAAGUGUCUUAGCAAUCUGCCUCCCACAGUUGAAGAGAACAUUUCCAGCCUGAUAACUAUUGCUGUGAACUGGUCUCUACAAAGGAAGCCUCAGUUGCUCCUUCUGUAGGAGGAAGGUCUCACAUUCAUUCAUGAUGAAUGGUCUGAACAAGAGGAAACUGAUCCCAGCCCUGGCUACCUGGUACCAUCAUCCAGAUGGCACUGCAGACACAAGCCCUUCAUGCCAGAAACUAGGAUUCCAGUUAACUAGGAGUCUGGGGUUCUUGGUGGCAACAUUUUUUUUUUUUUGGACAAAAAUAUACAUAAAUGGUAAGUAUGUUAGCAGCCCUAAGAGUCUCUGCUCUGUAAUAACCAUGUUAAUGUUCUCAUAAAAAGAUAUGGGGCAAGAGCAAAGUGACAGAAAGGCUGAUUAGCAUUUUAUGACAGAAUUAAGCUGCAUGACAAAUAACUCACUGGUUUACAGCCCAACAAAUUCUACUUUCAAAUGCCGGAGGUGCUAGAAUGUUUUUGUUCAUUUAUUUGUUUUUUUAUAUUUAACCAUGAAGUUGUCCAGAGCUAUUUGAAUAAAGAUGGAAUACAAUUGUAAUAGUAGUAAAUAUAAUUAGUGCUAAUAUUUAUUAAGAAUCCUUUUGCUCCAAAAUGUCUAAAAAAUUAAUAUGGUCAACAACAGGAUUUUUCAGACUUCCAGAUUUAGAACUGGAAGAAAAAGUUCAGAUUACUACUCCUCGGUGUCAUAAUUUGUAAUGGGUUUUACAAAACUGAACAAUUCUACCAUUAAUUCACCCCAACUUUGGGGAAAUCUCAUUGAGGCCAUUAUUCUGUGGGUGUUAAAGGGGAAAUAACUUCCACUUUGUUCAAGGUACCAACUUCUAGAUUAAGGACUCCUCUAUACUUGUAGUUUUAUUUGUUACAGAUAAAGAGUGGAAAUG